GACGAACGCUGGCGGCGUGCUUAACACAUGCAAGUCGAGCGGAAAGGGCCGGCUUUUGUGGGGUGCUCGAGUGGCGAGAGGGUGAGAAACACGUGAGUAACCUGCCCUUUAGUGUGGGAGAACUUCAGGAAACUGGGGCGAAUACCGGGUAGGAGCUCUUGCUGCAUGGGGGGUAUGGGAAAGAUUCGGCGGUUGGGGAUGGAAUCGUGGCUUAGCAGCUUGUUGGUGGGGUGGUGGCUUACCGAGGCUUUGACGGGUAGCCGGCCUGAGAGGGUGACCGGCCACAUUCGGCCUGAGGUAGCACCCAGAGUCAUACGUCAGGCAGCGGUGGAAAACAUACCACAAUACGCCGCAGCCGGAUGCAACAAUGCCGCGUACGGGAUGACGGCUUUCGGGUUGUAACCCGCUUUAGCCUGUGACGCUGCGCGAGUGACGGUAACGGGCCAAGAAGCAACGGCUAACUACGUG
rnacentral:rRNA from 1 species